AACGUAGGAGGCGAGCGUUAUCCGGAGUUACUGGGCGUAAAGAGCGUGUAGGCGGGGAUGCAAGUUUGGCGUGAAAUCCCUCAGCUUAACUGAGGAACUGCGUCUGAGACUGGCAAGCUUGAGUGCAGGAGAGGAACGCGGAAUUCCAGGUGUAGCGGUGAAAUGCGUAGAUAUCUGGAGGAACACCGGUGGCGAAGGCGGCGUUCUGGACUGUAACUGACACUGAUGAACGAAAGCCAGGGGAGCAAACGGG
rnacentral:rRNA from 1 species